rnacentral:rRNA from 1 species
AUUGAACGCUGGCGGCAGGCUUAACACAUGCAAGUCGAACGGUAACAUAAAGGAGCUUGCUUCUUUGAUGACGAGUGGCGGACGGGUGAGUAAUGCUUGGGAAUCUAGCUUAUGGAGGGGGAUAACUACGGGAAACUGUAGCUAAUACCGCGUAGAAUCGGGAGAUGAAAGUGUGGGACCUUCGGGCCACAUGCCAUAGGAUGAGCCCAAGUGGGAUUAGGUAGUUGGUGAGGUAAAGGCCCACCAAGCCGACGAUCUCUAGCUGGUCUGAGAGGAUGACCAGCCACACUGGGACUGAGACACGGCCCAGACUCCUACGGGAGGCAGCAGUGGGGAAUAUUGCGCAAUGGGGGCAACCCUGACGCAGCCAUGCCGCGUGAAUGAAGAAGGCCUUCGGGUUGUAAAGUUCUUUCGGUAGCGAGGAAGGCAUUUAGUUUAAUAGACUAGGUGAUUGACGUUAACUACAGAAGAAGCACCGGCUAACUCCGUG